rnacentral:lncRNA from 1 species
GAAGAGAUAAUGGGCUUAUAACCAUUUAAAACUCGAUAGUCAUAACAACAAAAAUAUAACCAAAUCUAAGCUUUACCACAAUGAAACAAAACUGAUGCAUACCAUCUGCUUCACUUGAACCAAUUAUACACUUUAAAUACUUCAAAUUCAAGCAUAGCUAACAUAAUACACUCGAUAAUCAAAUUUGUAUCAGGAAAAAAAUAAUUAAAUACGUAACUGUAACCAUACUCGUAGGCAAUUUCACCCUGUUAUUUGUGCUACAGAUUUACUACACAACAAAAUUCUAUUUUUGCUGCAUGGGCAGAGAGAGCAAAGCCUUCCAUCUUCAUAAUUCUCCAGUCUUCACUACACUGUAUGCAACCGCAGCUAAUUCUUCUAUCAAAACUGCAGAAAAGAGGCUCCCCUAACUACAGAGCCAAAACAAGGACAUGGCGAGAAAAUUCAUUGGUUAUCGACCAUGGGAUCUCGUAGCUGCUAGAAAACAACGAAAGGAAUCCUUCUAUAAAAUGUCAAAGCUCGCGAAUCAGUUAGGUUCCAAUCUACACGGUUUUCUUUUUCGUGGCUUUAUUGCCCUUACUUUUACCACCCUUCUUUUUCUGCAUACCACCACGUUUGUGGUCCGAUUUUCCAUGGGGAUCUACUUCCUCGAAUUUGAUAGGCUUUAUGAUAAUACCAUUCCUCUUUACCACCUGCGAGAAUUAUAACACAAGCAAAGAAAACAUCUAAACCACCUCCAGAUCACAGCUACAAAAACAACCCCUCACCAAAAUAGAUAAGUAACAAAGAAAAAUCUUAUGACCAAAAAAGGGAAAGGGCUAAGAAAAGGAAUAUAUUUCAUCCAAC